AAUGACGGGACCGCACAAGCGGUGGAUGAUGUGAUUAAUUCGAUGCAACGCGAAAACCUUACCUACCCUUGACAUGUCCGGAAUCCUGCAGAGAUGCGGGAGUGCCGAAAGGGAAUCGGAACACAGGUGCUGCAUGGCUGUCGUCAGCUCGUGUCGUGAGAUGUUGGGUUAAGUCCCGCAACGAGCGCAACCCUUAUCAUUAGUUGCUACGCAAGGGCACUCUAAUGAGACUGCCGGUGACAAACCGGAGGAAGGUGGGGAUGACGUCAAGUCCUCAUGGCCCUUAUGGGUAGGGCUUCACACGUCAUACAAUGGUCGGUACAGAGGGUUGCCAAGCCGCGAGGUGGAGCCAAUCCCAGAAAGCCGAUCGUAGUCCGGAUUGUUCUCUGCAACUCGAGAGCAUGAAGUCGGAAUCGCUAGUAAUCGCGGAUCAGCAUGUCGCGGUGAAUACGUUCCCGGGUCUU
rnacentral:rRNA from 1 species